CUUACUGUUCAGCUCUUUCAUUGCUCUCUUACUCUAAGACUUGUUCAACAGGGACCAAAUUCGGAUCUUUUUACCAUCUGCAGAGACGCUUCGAUUAUUGGAUUGUACCUCAUGGAUGCCCUAGAUGAGAAAGAGGUUAAGGGAUGCCGAAGCAAAUACAUUGCCUUCUAUCUCAAAGUCGGUCUUCAUCCUCUCAAGUAUUUGUUGAUUUGGAUUUGGAGGUGCGACCCUUCCCCGUACCUUGCGUGAGUGCUAGAUUCUUUGUGCUCCGGGCUGCCUUUUUUGAUUUGUCCUUCACAUGAGUAGGUAUUUCUAUUUUAUUUUUUUCCAUAUACGAUGUUGUUUUAUGCAAUUCAAUAAACUUUAGACUCAGUGGUUACUUUCUUGAAUUAUUGGGAGUUGGCUAGGUCAAACUUAUAUAAAAGUAAUUGUUAAUGAUUCAGAAAUUUUUGUUCGGACAUUGUAGCAGUUUUGAGUAGAGAAGGAGAUUGUAUGAUGGCGAAGAAAAUAUUUUAUGAGAAUGCAGAAUGAGUGAAUUCUAAAUGAUUAGAAGAAAGAAUAACUAUCUUUAAGCGAAUAAGAAAGUGCUUCAGCAUCAGAACUUUCUGAGUAGUGGUAGCUUCUAAAAAUUGAUUGGUGAUUACUCAUUCGUAUAUAUGAAUUAUCUAAUAAUGAGGGAGCUUAAUCUAAUAAGGGGGUUUAAAUUUAUGCCCAAAAAAGAAGGGACAUAAUAUAUCUUCCUAAUGUGAACAGUGAAGGUAUAGGUUUCCAUCUAUUUUGGUUUUAUUACGUACUUUUACCCAAUUAACUUGUUUAGAGAUAUUAAGCCUUCAUUGUAAGGAUCCUUGAUUUUGACCUUAUAAAAAAAAUUCUAGACUUUGAAACAUGACUUAAUCUUACUUCUUUAGGACAAUGCUAAGAAUUAUAAAAAUAGAAUUGAGAGCAUAUAUUCCAACUCGCAAGUACAUAGCUUUCGGUGGAUCUUCAUUCGCUUAUAGUUCAUAAGUUAGGGGUGUACUAACCUUCUAAAGUACUGUGAAAAACCAUAUAAAUUUAAUUAUCAAUUAGAGGAGUUUUUUGUGGUGAUCUUCCAAAAUGUUGACCUCUCUUUUAUACAUUUAUGAAUUUUUACAUUUCUAACAGUUGUAUAUUAUAGUUGAAGAUCUAAUAAAACAUGAACUCACACUUUUAUAGUUGAGGGAGAAAGUAUAUGGCCUCAAUGUUUUGGCAUUGCCAUUAGUAUUGGUAUUUACUGGCAGACUGUAAUUCUCAUUUUAAUGUUCUUUAUUUCAGCGGCCUUUCUCUUGACAGUUUUUUUAACCUACUUUUGUCACAUUCUUUUUUAACUGUCUGUAACAAUGCACUGUGAUGGCUCAAUAGUCAUUUAUCUAGGAAGAAAUUGAGUUGAAAUCAAACAAUAGAGUCUUUAUGACUUCUUAAAUGAUAAUGAAAAGUUGUAUC